rnacentral:tRNA from 5 species
GCUGGAGUGUUGGAACUGGCAGACAAGCUAGUCUCAGAAGCUAGUGAGGGCAACCUCGUGUGGGUUCGAAUCCCAUCUCCAGCA